rnacentral:rRNA from 1 species
CCCGGGCUCAACCUGGGAACUGCAUCUGAUACUGGCAAGCUUGAGUCUCGUAGAGGGGGGUAGAAUUCCAGGUGUAGCGGUGAAAUGCGUAGAGAUCUGGAGGAAUACCGGUGGCGAAGGCGGCCCCCUGGACGAAGACUGACGCUCAGGUGCGAAAGCGUGGGGAGCAAACAGGAUUAGAUACCCUGGUAGUCCACGCCGUAAACGAUGUCGACUUGGAGGUUGUGCCCUUGAGGCGUGGCUUCCGGAGCUAACGCGUUAAGUCGACCGCCUGGGGAGUACGGCCGCAAGGUUAAAACUCAAAUGAAUUGACGGGGGCCCGCACAAGCGGUGGAGCAUGUGGUUUAAUUCGAUGCAACGCGAAGAACC